GAAAUGCGAUAAGUAGUGUGAAUUGCAGAAUUCAGUGAAUCAUCGAAUCUUUGAACGCACAUUGCGCCCCUUGGUAUUCCAUGGGGCAUGCCUGUUCGAGCGUCAUUACGCACCCUCAAGCCCGGCUUGUGUGAUGGGCCCUGGCGUCUCGUUCGCGAGACGGGCCCGAAAGGCAGCGGCGGCGUCGACCCGAUGAGCCCGAGCGUAUGGGGACUUUUGUCACACGUUUGCGGUGCGGACCGGCGCCUGCUUGACUUUUCUGAUUAUCCAGGUUGACCUCGGAUCAGGUAGGGAUACCCGCUGAACUUAAGC
rnacentral:misc_RNA from 1 species